UUCUAAACUCUACCACACAAAAGGCAAUUUUCCAAGCAGGGCUAGGCCACCCUAACUGUUGAACCGGAGAACUAAUUAGCCUCCCGUGUGCACUAUCUUGUCUUUUUUUAGGACCGGAAAUCAAAUGGGAAGGGUUCCCUCCCUUUCCAAGUGAGUUCCAGAGGAAUUACUCACGCUCCUUAACCUAUGAGUCACACAGGAGUCUAGGAGAGUGUUUCCAAAACAGGCUGACAAUAAGAUAAACAAAGCAAUUGAUAUGUGAUAGUCCAGUGGCUGGGCUGCCAUCCUCCAAGGCCAGGAGUUGGAUCUGCAGCUGAAAAACAGUGAACCUGAACUGACUGGGUGUCCCUGAGGAGUACGUGGAUGGCUGGAGCUCUGCAGAACGACUUGGAACAUUUCUGAAAGUAUAUGGCCACUAGGAGGUUGCUCAGGUGUGCAGAAAACAAUGCAGUACUCUCGCCAAAAGGAACAAGAUCAGCAGAAAAUGAACAAUGCAGUGGCUUGUGUGUGGAUCCCAGCCUCUCAGCCAGCUUUUUGCAACCCUGAGCUUCUCACCCUGGGAGUGCCGGGAUUACAGGUAAAUGCCACACUGCCUGGCUCAGAAUCUGCUUUUCAAGGAAACCCAAAGGCAUGGGAAAGUUUCAGAAGACUCAUCUGUACCUCUUGCCAGAAGAUACAGCAGAGGCACACCAAAAGAGAAUGUAAGGUACAUCUCUCUGUUCCCAGUCAUUAUCAUUCUGAGAACAGGAUUUAUGGGUGUUAUGAAAAUUAGUCAAGAAAUAAAAGUUUUAAGGCUUACCCAGGUACUGACUGGACAUAGAAGGCAAGGAGCUUAGGAAAAUAUUUAAAUCGACUUACAUUAUUGUUUGUUUACACAGUUUUUUUUUUUUUUUUUUUGGUUUUUCUCCGGUACCGGGAACCGAACUCAUGACCUUGAGCUUGCCAGGCAGGCG
rnacentral:lncRNA from 1 species